GCGGCACCAGCACCAGCGCAGUUUCCCCUCUCCCCAGCCCUGACUCUACGCGCACAUGCGCACUGCGCCCGCAGCCCUGGACCAUUUGUCAGGACUACUCGUGAGACGGAGAAAAAAAAAAGAGAAAAUUUGGGGUGCUGGACCUUUAGGAGAAGUCUUGGGGGUGGACAGCAAUCCUAAAGACUACCGGGGAGUUAUUUCUUCACUGCCACUAGGUUCAAAAAUAAAUCAUGACUGAAUCUGCCUCUAGCACAAGUGGUCAAGAGUUUGAUGUAUUCAGUGUUAUGGACUGGAAAGAUGGAGUAGGCACAUUACCCGGAAGUGACUUAAAGUUUCGGGUGAACGAGUUUGGAGCCCUGGAAGUUAUCACAGAUGAGAGUGAGAUGGAAAACGUGAAAAAAGCAACAGCUACCACAACUUGGAUGGUACCAACUGCUCAAGAAGCCCCGACCUCUCCCCCGAGCUCCAGGCCCGUAUUUCCACCUGCCUACUGGACAUCUCCACCUGGAUGUCCCACAGUCUUUUCGGAGAAGACUGGGAUGCCUUUCAGGUUGAAGGAUCCAGUGAAAGUAGAAGGGCUUCAAUUCUGUGAGAACUGUUGUCAUUAUGGCAAUGUAGAUGAGUGUCUUUCUGGAGGAAGCUAUUGCAGCCAGAACUGUGCCCGGCAUAUCAAAGACAAGUAUUGUUUCCUGUCACUAUUUUGGGCUUAUAAACACAACAGAGAUCAGAAGGAAGAAAGGGACAUAGGAGAAGACAACGAGGAAGAAGAUCCUAAGUGUAGUCGGAAGAAGAAACCGAAAUUAUCUCUGAAAGCCGACUCCAAGGAGGAUGGAGAAGAGAGAGAUGACGAGAUGGAGAACAAACAAGAUGGAAGAAUCCUAAGGGGUUCGCAGAGAGCCCGAAGGAAAAGACGAGGUGAUUCGGCUGUAUUGAAGCAGGGUUUGCCUCCUAAAGGAAAGAAAGCCUGGUGCUGGGCAUCCUAUCUGGAGGAGGAAAAGGCUGUGGCAGUGCCCGCGAAGCUCUUCAAGGAGUAUCAGUCCUUUCCAUAUAACAAAAAUGGGUUUAAAGUUGGCAUGAAGUUAGAAGGUGUGGACCCUGAGCAUCAGUCUGUGUACUGUGUCCUCACUGUGGCUGAGGUUUGUGGAUACCGGAUAAAAUUGCACUUUGAUGGAUAUUCUGAUUGCUAUGACUUCUGGGUAAAUGCAGAUGCUCUGGAUAUUCACCCAGUGGGGUGGUGUGAGAAAACUGGCCAUAAACUCCAUCCUCCGAAAGGUUAUAAAGAAGAAGAAUUUAAUUGGCAGACCUAUCUUAAGACAUGCAAAGCUCAAGCUGCUCCCAAGUCAUUAUUUGAAAAUCAGAAUAUAACAGUGAUCCCGUCAGGCUUUCGAGUUGGAAUGAAGCUUGAAGCUGUAGACAAAAAGAAUCCUGCGUUCAUCUGUGUUGCUACGGUAACAGAUAUGGUGGACAAUCGUUUCCUGGUACAUUUUGACAACUGGGAUGAGAGCUAUGACUAUUGGUGUGAAGCAUCGAGUCCACACAUUCAUCCAGUCGGUUGGUGUAAAGAACAUAGAAGAACACUUAUUACUCCACCAGGUUAUCCAAAUGUGAAACAUUUUUCUUGGGACAAAUACUUAGAAGAAACCAAUUCUUUACCUGCUCCUGCAAGAGCUUUCAAAGUGAAACCUCCACAUGGAUUCCAGAAAAAAAUGAAGCUUGAAGUCAUAGACAAAAGAAAUCCUGUGUUUAUUAGAGUAGCAACGGUUGCAGACACGGAUGAUCACCGAAUAAAAGUUCACUUUGAUGGCUGGAAUAGUUGCUAUGAUUACUGGGUAGAUGCAGAUUGUCCUGAUAUUCACCCUGUGGGCUGGUGUUCAAAAACCGGGCAUCCUCUUCAGCCUCCUUUGAGCCCCUUAGAAUUAAUGGAAGCUUCAGAACAUGGCGGAUGCUCAACCCCAGGAUGUAAAGGGAUUGGCCAUUUUAAGAGAGUGAGACACCUGGGCCCUCACAGUGCUGCCAACUGUCCCUAUUCAGAAAUCAAUUUGAAUAAAGACCGAAUUUUCCCAGACCGUUUAAGUGGUGAGAUGCCUCCGGCUAGUCCAUCAUUUCCAAGAAAUAAAAGGGCAGACACAAAUGAAAUCUCUUCAUCUCCUGAAAUCAGAGACCAGCAUGCUGAUGAUGUCAAAGAGGACUUUGAAGAGAGAACAGAAAGUGAAAUGAGGACGUCGCAUGAAGCCAGAGCAGGUGCCCGGGAAGAACCGAGCAUACAGCAGGCACAGCGUCGAUCGGCUGUCUUUCUGUCCUUUAAGUCCCCGAUUCCAUGUCUGCCCUUACGCUGGGAGCAGCAGAGCAAACUUCUUCCCACCGUAGCUGGGAUCCCUGCCAGUAAAGUUUCCAAAUGGAGCACAGAUGAGGUGUCAGAAUUCAUACAGAGCUUACCUGGGUGUGAAGAACAUGGAAAGGUAUUUAAAGAUGAACAAAUUGAUGGAGAAGCCUUUCUGCUUAUGACCCAAACAGACAUUGUUAAAAUUAUGAGCAUUAAGUUGGGCCCUGCUCUCAAAAUUUUCAAUUCUAUCCUGAUGUUCAAAGCUGCAGAGAAGAACUCUCACAAUGAACUUUGAAGAUGGUGAAUUUUGAAUACCAUCAGCUUUCUGCUUUAAAGCUCAUGUUUUAUUCAAAGCACAAGGACAGUUAUAACUCCUACACAAGAAGUCUCCAAAACUCAAAAGAGCGAUGCUAUCAGAUUAUUUAUAUUCCUCAAGAGACAAUAUAUACGAAUCCUUAUGAAAGUCCUUCGGCUUUUAACCAAGUACUGUCUAACAGCGGUCAUCCUUUGGUUCUGUUCACUGAGCUAAAAUUUAUCUUUGUACAUCUUUUUGAGGCUGGGGGGUGGGGGGAAGGGGACUUCGUUAAUUAUUUAUGGUAAAAGGGGGGGAUCGGAGUAAGAAUUUUUGGCAUUUUGUAAACAUUGUUGAAUUCUCUUUCAUGCACACUAUUUCUUUUUCAGUACUUUCAGAAACCUUUUUAUAUAAUCCAACUUCAACUGAAACCAAAUUAGUCAAAACCUGGCUGAGAUUUGCCAGUGGGACUGUUACCUGUAUUGUUCAUUCUGUGCCAUAUUUUGAAUUGCAACAUUAUGCUAAGUAUAACUCUGCAAGUCAUGAUACUGCCUAACUGCUUGUCAUAAUUUGUUGAGGCUGAAUGGUGGUAAAAAUUACUUUUCUUUCAAUCAGUGUUUUUACUUUUGCACGCAUUAUGAAAUGUUAAACAAAUUACUUUUCACCAGCAUCUUUACUAUAAUUACCAAAAACAUGUAUAUAAAUAAUGGAAUUGAAAAAUAAAAUAUAUAAAUAAAUUAGGUGAUGUAUUUGAAUGGCAUCAAUCUUAUACAUUGUGGUGCCCUAUGUAUUUACAGGAGUCCAGUGGUAUCAAAGGAAUAUGCAGUUCUGUUGGUGGGGGGGAUGUUUGUAAGGAUCUUGAACUAUUUAUGAGAUGAUCUUGAGCUUCUCUCUAAUUGCCAAUGAAGUCACUGUGAUGCUUUUCAGAGCUGAAGCGGUCGUUCUGUCGAUGGAAACACUAAUCCAUAAAGAGCUCUGUCCCAGAUCUUCUUCCUCCAGACCCAAAGAUUUUCUUUGGGUCUGCUGAAGAGAGAGUAUGUGGAUUUUACUGAAAAGAAAGCUUGUCAUACAGGCAAAUGAGAGCAGGAACAAUGUCAAAGGUUUGGGCAUUACCUCGCUAUGUAAUGAAUCUGCAGGAUUCAAAAUUGUCCAACUGUGUCCCAGGUGAUGUGAAGAACAACAAUAAAUAAGGUCGCAAAGCUGAGGCAACAGAAAGAUUUUUAAAAACCUUGCUGGUGACAUUAAGUCCUUUCCUGGAUCAGCGCCUCAUGCGUGGCUUACUUCCUUCCUUCCUUACCGUGGCUGUACUUGAAGGAAGAUUCCAUUUAGCAAAAAAACAGAUCCUGUUGGUGAAAAAGAAGGAAGGGGGAGGCACAAAAAAAUAGGUAUAUGGCAGUCGCAUGGAGCCAAGUCCAGGCAAUUCCGUCUGGAGCAGCCUUGCUACGGCAGGAAACAAUGAUGUCAUUGUACUCCAAUGAAGCGAAUCAUCUCAUCCACUUUGGGCCAUCGUUCAUUCCAACCAUCACCAGACCAGAAAGUAUGAAAACUGGAAUAGUCAACUGGAAUACCUUGCCCACCUUUGUCAUCAACAUGCUUACUGCCUAGAGCUCGGAGCCAGGUGAAUGGUGAUAAAGAAGUUAGAAGCCUUACCAAGAACAUAAGACAUGUCCAUAAGCAGAAUAUAAUAUGGAGUCAAUUAAUAGGUGUUGUAAAAAGCACUCAGGGCUGGAUUUUCCCACUCUCCUGGAAAUGGAUUGAAUGGAUCUUAACUUGGAAUCUGAACAAAAAAUACAGUUCAGAACAGUGAAAGUAAAAAGCCAGCAAUAAACAAGUCAUGUUUGGGGACCUGUAGGUGGACAAGGUAUCUGGAGUGGCAAGAGCAGACAGAUCUGAAAGAUCACUGGAGAGCUGGGAAUCCUGAGUUUCCAGCUUACAGAUACACAUAAACUUGGGGAAGUCAUUGACUUGGUCGCUUAAUCCAUGCUUCAGAAGGAUUAUUUACACAGCCGAGUCAGAUAAAUUACAGGAAAGGGUGUUCUUUCUUGAAGUAAAUUGUGUAUGACAAUGAAGGGUUUAGCUUU